AACCGAGUCUUAAUUGGGCGUUAAGUUGCAGGGUAUAGACCCGAAACCCGGUGAUCUAGCCAUGGGCAGGUUGAAGGUUGGGUAACACUAACUGGAGGACCGAACCGACUAAUGUUGAAAAAUUAGCGGAUGACCUGUGGCUGGGGGUGAAAGGCCAAUCAAACCGGGAGAUAGCUGGUUCUCCCCGAAAGCUAUUUAGGUAGCGCCUCGUGAAUUCAUCUCCGGGGGUAGAGCACUGUUUCGGCUAGGGGGCCAUCCCGGCUUACCAACCCGAUGCAAACUGCGAAUACCGGAGAAUGUUAUCACGGGAGACACACGGCGGGUGCUAACGUCCGUCGUGAAGAGGGAAACAACCCAGACCGCCAGCUAAGGUCCCAAAGUCAUGGUUAAGUGGGAAACGAUGUGGGAAGGCCCAGACAGCCAGGAUGUUGGCUUAGAAGCAGCCAUCAUUUAAAGAAAGCGUAAUAGCUCACUGGUCGAGUCGGCCUGCGCGGAAGAUGUAACGGGGCUAAACCAUGCACCGAAGCUGCGGCAGCGAACGUAUCACCCAAGACAACUUUACGGAGUUGACGAUUGACGGAGCGAAGCGACGUCAAAGCGUUCAUUAAAGUCGAGUUGGCUUAGGGAUACGUUCGUUGGGUAGGGGAGCGUUCUGUAAGCCUGUGAAGGUGUGUCGUGAGGC
rnacentral:rRNA from 1 species